AGCGAACGGACGAGAAGCUUGCUUCUCUGAUGUUAGCGGCGGACGGGUGAGUAACACGUGGAUAACCUACCUAUAAGACUGGGAUAACUUCGGGAAACCGGAGCUAAUACCGGAUAAUAUUUUGAACCGCAUGGUUCAAAAGUGAAAGACGGUCUUGCUGUCACUUAUAGAUGGAUCCGCGCUGCAUUAGCUAGUUGGUAAGGUAACGGCUUACCAAGGCAACGAUGCAUAGCCGACCUGAGAGGGUGAUCGGCCACACUGGAACUGAGACACGGUCCAGACUCCUACGGGAGGCAGCAGUAGGGAAUCUUCCGCAAUGGGCGAAAGCCUGACGGAGCAACGCCGCGUGAGUGAUGAAGGUCUUCGGAUCGUAAAACUCUGUUAUUAGGGAAGAACAUAUGUGUAAGUAACUGUGCACAUCUUGACGGUACCUAAUCAGAAAGCCACGGCUAACUACGUGCCAGCAGCCGCGGUAAUACGUAGGUGGCAAGCGUUAUCCGGAAUUAUUGGGCGUAAAGCGCGCGUAGGCGGUUUUUUAAGUCUGAUGUGAAAGCCCACGGCUCAACCGUGGAGGGUCAUUGGAAACUGGAAAACUUGAGUGCAGAAGAGGAAAGUGGAAUUCCAUGUGUAGCGGUGAAAUGCGCAGAGAUAUGGAGGAACACCAGUGGCGAAGGCGACUUUCUGGUCUGUAACUGACGCUGAUGUGCGAAAGCGUGGGGAUCAAACAGGAUUAGAUACCCUGGUAGUCCACGCCGUAAACGAUGAGUGCUAAGUGUUAGGGGGUUUCCGCCCCUUAGUGCUGCAGCUAACGCAUUAAGCACUCCGCCUGGGGAGUACGACCGCAAGGUUG
rnacentral:rRNA from 1 species